rnacentral:rRNA from 1 species
GACGAACGCUGGCGGCGUGCUUAACACAUGCAAGUCGAACGGUGACGAGGAGCUUGCUCCUCUGAUCAGUGGCGAACGGGUGAGUAACACGUGAGUAACCUGCCCCAGACUCUGGGAUAACAGUUGGAAACAGCUGCUAAUACCGGAUACGAGACGGAGAGGCAUCUCUACCGUCUGGAAAGUUUUUCGGUCUGGGAUGGACUCGCGGCCUAUCAGCUUGUUGGUGAGGUAAUGGCUCACCAAGGCGACGACGGGUAGCCGGCCUGAGAGGGCGACCGGCCACACUGGGACUGAGACACGGCCCAGACUCCUACGGGAGGCAGCAGUGGGGAAUAUUGCACAAUGGGCGAAAGCCUGAUGCAGCGACGCCGCGUGAGGGAUGACGGCCUUCGGGUUGUAAACCUCUUUCAGCAGGGAAGAAGCGAAAGUGACGGUACCUGCAGAAGAAGCACCGGCUAACUACGUG